CAGUCGCCGCGGUAAUACGAGGGGGGCAAGCGUUGUUCGGAAUUAUUGGGUGUAAAGGGUGCGUAGGCGGCUUGGCAAGUCCUGUGUGAAAUCUAUGGGCUCAACCCAUAGUCUGCACGGGAAACUGUCGGGCUUGAGAAUGGGAGAGGUGAGUGGAAUUUCCGGUGUAGCGGUGAAAUGCGUAGAUAUCGGAAGGAACACCUGUGGCGAAAGCGGCUCACUGGACCAUUUCUGACGCUGAUGCACGAAAGCUAGGGGAGCAAACAGGAUUAGAUACCCGUGUAGUCCCUGUCUCUUAUAC
rnacentral:rRNA from 1 species